UACAGAGGUCUCAAGCGUUGUUCGGAUUCAUUGGGCGUAAAGGGUGCGUAGGCGGCGGGGUAAGUUUGAUGUGAAAUCCCGGGGCUCAACCCUGGAAUUGGCAUUGAAUACUACCUUGCUAGAGUACCGGAGAGGAAACUGGAAUUUACGGUGUAGCAGUGAAAUGCGUAGAGAUCGUAAGGAAGACCAGUGGCGAAGGCGAGUUUCUGGACGGUGAACUGACGCUGAGGCACGAAGGCCAGGGGGAGCAAACGGG
rnacentral:rRNA from 1 species